rnacentral:rRNA from 1 species
AUUGAACGCUGGCGGCAUGCCUUACACAUGCAAGUCGAACGGCAGCACGGGGGCAACCCUGGUGGCGAGUGGCGAACGGGUGAGUAAUGCAUCGGAACGUGCCCAGUAGUGGGGGAUAACCCGGCGAAAGCCGGGCUAAUACCGCGUACGACCUAUGGGUGAAAGCGGGGGACCGUAAGGCCUCGCGCUAUUGGAGCGGCCGAUGUCUGAUUAGCUAGUUGGCGGGGUAAAGGCCCACCAAGGCGACGAUCAGUAGCUGGUCUGAGAGGACGACCAGCCACACUGGGACUGAGACACGGCCCAGACUCCUACGGGAGGCAGCAGUGGGGAAUUUUGGACAAUGGGCGCAAGCCUGAUCCAGCCAUGCCGCGUGCGGGAAGAAGGCCUUCGGGUUGUAAACCGCUUUUGGCAGGAACGAAACGGCGCAAGCUAAUACCUUGCGCUAAUGACGGUACCUGCAGAAUAAGCACCGGCUAACUACGUGCCAGCAGCCGCAGUAACAC